rnacentral:piRNA from 1 species
UACCCAGGACGGACUUCAUGCUAGUGG